rnacentral:tRNA from 1 species
GGGGUUGUAGCUCAGUGCUAGAGCACCUGCCUGGCAUGUGGGAAGCACUGAGUUCGAUUCUCAGCACCA